UAUUAUACUAAAUAUUAAAUGUUAUUUUGAAAAUGUACUUUAUUUUUAUAAUAUAACACAACCGUCUUAACUCGCUCUUCUAAUUUUCAUAUUACCAAAAUUAAAAUGCCGUCGGCAUAUGUGGAAAUGGGAUAUGUUGCCUCUUCGAAAUUUUCAUAUAAAUGAAAACUGCGCUGUUAAACUGCUGAAGAGACAGCUUCUAGCUUACGAUAUAUGGCAAACUAUGUAGUAUUCUAUAUCUAGUAAGCAAUGAGCAAUGUGGAGUCUGCACAGGCAGAGAUGCCCCGUUAUUAUAAUAAAAGAAUUUUUGAGAGUUGGUAACACUGUAAGGUUGGCACCAUCAAACAUGUCAACACAUUAAUUAUAUUUAUAUAUUUUGAAAUUGAAAUUUAAAUACACGAUGUUAUGAGCAAAGUUGA